rnacentral:rRNA from 1 species
GAAUUUUGGACAAUGGGCGAAAGCCUGAUCCACCAAUGCCGCGUGCAGGAUGAAGGCCUUCGGGUUGUAAACUGCUUUUGUACGGAACGAAAAGAUUUGGGUUAAUACCCUGGAGUCAUGACGGUACCGUAAGAAUAAGCACCGCCCAACUACGUGCCAGCAGCCGCGGUAAUCCGUAGUGUGCAGGCGUUCAGCGGAAUUACGGGGCGUAAAGCGUGCUCAGGCGGUUUUGUAAGACAGAGGUGAAAUCCCCGGGCUCAACCUGGGAACUGCCUUUGUGACUGAAAGGCUAGAGUACGGCAGAGGGGGGUGGAAUUCCGCGUGUAGCAGUGAAAUGCGUAGAUAUGCGGAGGAACACCGAUGGCGAAGGCAACCCCCUGGGCCUGUACUGACGCUCAUGCACGAAAGCGUGGGGAGCAAACA